rnacentral:rRNA from 1 species
CGGACGGGGGAGUAAUGUCUGGGAAACUGCCCGAUGGAGGGGGGUAACUACUGGAAACGGUAGCUAAUACCGCAUAACGUCGCAAGACCAAGAGGGGGACCUUCGGGCCUCUUGCCAUCGGAUGUGCCCAGAUGGGAUUAGCUAGUAGGUGGGGUAACGGCUCACCUAGGCGACGAUCCCUAGCUGGUCUGAGAGGAUGACCAGCCACACUGGAACUGAGACACGGUCCAG